rnacentral:rRNA from 1 species
GACGAACGCUGGCGGCGUGCCUAAUACAUGCAAGUCGAACGCAGUGGGGACGGGUGAGUAACACGUGGGUAACCUCCCAUCAGAUGGGAUAACACUUGGAAACAGGUGCUAAACCGCUACUGAUGGAUGGACCCGCGGUGCAUUAGCUAGUUGGUGAGGUAACGGCUCACCAAGGCCACGAUGCAUAGCCGACCGGAGAGGGGGAUCGCAAACACGGGGACUGAGACACGACCCAAACUCCUACGGGAGGCAGCAGUAGGGAAUCUUCCGCAAUGGGCGCAAGCCUGACGGAGCAACGCCGCGUGAGUGAAGAAGGUUUUCGGAUCGUAAAGCUCUGUUGUAAGAGAAGCGGUAUCUUACCAGAAAGCCACGGCUAACUACGUGCCAGCCGCCGCGGUAAUAC